CAGGUUGGUCAAUGAUACAUAUAGGAUUAGUAUGUUUGAUGGAUUGAUAAAAUUCAAUUAGAUAAAUUUAUAUGAUUUUCAAUGAGAUAAAUUUCAUAUGGAAUUGAUUAUAGAAAUUUAUCACAUAAAUUUAACUGAGUUGUAGUUAGCCAGUACAUUUUUUUUUUCACAAACAGGAAGUUUCGGAUCCAAUUUGGAUGUAAUGAGGAUUACCGUAUAUGACACAAUAUCUCUGUCGAUUCCUUCUAGUCGAGCCUCUCAGUUUAUCAUUAUACCUGGUCUCAUACAUGGAAUUCUGUGAAAAGCAGUAUGUACGUCAUGGAGGGAGAUCUUUCAUAUCUUUCGAGAUCCACCCUAAAAAAUGCAAAGAAUCAUAUUUUACUCAGUAAUGAAGAGUUUGAACCAAUAUUUCUAGAUGGAUGGAGUGGGGUAUUACUAAUGUGUUUAGGUCAAGAUUUCUAUAUGAACCAGUAUCCUAUGUUUGGGUGUUGUGCUUAUUGUUUUGAGAUUUCUUUUUACCUUUUCGUGAUGUCAAUUUCGUCAACAAAUUAUUGCCUUCUUUGAUUUGGUUGUCAUUCUUUUCGUUUUGGGUUGUGCAGUUGUAGGUGUCAUUGCUACAUCAGGCGAUUGCUUUGCAUUUUUUGGUAGAUGUGAAACCUGUUUCUGCUUCUUCAGAGGAGGGUUUUGGUCUUUAUUGUUGGAUACAUCAUCGGAGACAACAUGUUCCUCUUUGACGUCAAUUAAGGGUUUGGUUUCUGAAUCAGGAGUUCUAGCAGAGGUGUCCGUGGUGAUGGUGGCGAUGAGGGCAGCGCUGUCGGUGGCAGCGGUGGUGGUGGUGAUGGUGGGUGGUGUCGGAUCAGUGAUUGCAAUGUUGUUGAUUUCGUUGUUGGAUGAAUCGUUGUCAGCGUCCUCAUCUUUGUUUUGUCAGAACUGGGCGAUGGUGGUGGCGGUGGUGAUCCGGCGGUGGUGAUGGUGGUAGCGAAGCUCACGGUUAAAGGAGGUGAUUACGGGGAUGGUGUGGGUUAAAAGUGGUGGUGAUGGAGUUCGAUGACGGAGGUGAGGUUGAGAGGUGGUGAUGAUAAUGCUCACAUGGUGGUUGGUCUUCUCAUAGGUUCAUGAAGUGAGCAUUGUGAAAGUUGUUUGGGUUCCUCCAGAAUAUGGUGAUGGAGUUGUAUGCAUUUUUGCAGAUGGAACUUUGUCAUUGUGGGGGGAGGUUGCUAAAGGUAUCCAAUGAAUUUUCUAUGUCAUUUACACCCAGUAUCAUAGUCUAAAAUUAGGCAGUGAUACACAUCGGCCAAUUCCUUUUGAUUUGCAUUUAAUAUGUUCUUCUUAGGAACAACAUCGUCGAUAACUCUUUGCUCUGUGUUUCAUUUUGGUUUGUUCGUUGUUUGUUCUUUUUACUCUUCUUUGAUAGAUUUUUAUAUGCUUUUUUGUAAUCUUUUCAUUUUAAGCCAGAAACACCCAUCUUUGUUGCUCAUGAUUAAAAAAUACCACUACCUCAUCAUUCUGGAUGAGUUUUUUGUUUAAAAAUUCUGUGUGUACCAUUUUCCUUUGUAAUAAUCAAGAAAAAUAUUACUCAAGCUUUGUAUGUUGGAGAGCCUCCCAUUUUGUGACUUGUGAACAAAGCCUUACUGUUAUUUUGAACAUCAUUUUGUCAUUCUAUAGAUACCACUGUCGCCACCGCCACCGCCACCGCCACCGCCAUCGCCUAGCUCUGUCAAAAACCUAGAACCACCAUUUCACAACAUGUUAUAGGUGAAGAUGAAGAAGGAAGAUGGACAAAGAAACAAAAGAGAUGAGUUUUUGGAAUUUUCAAAGUUAGUUUUUGCGCUACUUUUGGUAUACUGAAACAAUCCAUUUUGGGGAGGAGCAAGAAAGCAAGGUAGUGUAGGACGAAAUAGGAAGUGAGGUGAAGAGAUUGGCAAAAUAACGAAAUAACACCGUUAAGAAUCGAGAAAGUUAUGGAGUCUGAAAGAUGGCUUGAAGAAAAUCAGAAACGGGAGGAAAAAUCUUACUUUUUGUCAACUGAAGCAAGGUGUAUGAGGAAUGGAAUGAAAACUAGACCAUGGGGUGAAUUCAAUGCCGCAAAAAUAAGGUGGAACAGAGUUAGGGAGAUACAAGGACUUUAACAGGUGGGUUUGAAUAUAAAAAUUUUGUGUGCGGUUCAAGGAAGAAGAUGAAUGGAGAUGGACAGAGCGGAUAAAUUGUGACACAGAAAUAACAUCUAGGUUUUAAUUAAAACCCUGGGGUUUAAAUUGAAAAAUAUGCGAAAUCCUUAGAUUUUUUUUUUUUGGCUUCAAAAAAAAAAAAAAAAA